rnacentral:rRNA from 1 species
CUGGAUUCGCUAGUAAUCGCGCAUCAGCCACGGCGCGGUGAAUACGUUCCCGGGCCUUGUACACACCGCCCGUCAAGCCAUGGAAGCCGGGAGUGCCUGAAGUGCGUGACCGCAAGGAGCGUCCUAAGGCAAUACCGGUGACUGGGGCUAAGUCGUAACAAGGUAUC